rnacentral:misc_RNA from 1 species
AGCGCACAACAGUAGUAUCGCCCUCGCGCGAAGUGUACUGACAUUCCAUGCACGUAGCAAGAGGGAAGAAAGUGCUGUUUACUAGGCCUAGGCAGACCACACUACAAAAUAACCGAAGUACCAGAUCGUUGUCUUCUUGUGUAUGCACCAUUUCUUCUGUCGGAGACAUUGAGGGGAAACCUUGAACAGCCUUUUGCAAGUCAACAUGCCACAAAAACAGGAUAUUUUGUGGGACAUUGCAAUCCAUGAAACCAAACGGGCUGUCCAAAUGGAGCAUCAACCUCAAGG